GUCACCGCUGCGGCGGGACCAGCAGGUGCGUGUCCCCGGCCACGCGCAGCCCCGCGCCCGCCCGCCCGCCCGGCCCGCACUCACCGCCGCCGCGCCGCCUCCCGUGCCCGCCGCCCGGACGUCAUGCUGCCCGGCUCCCUCCUCCUCCGCCGCAACUUGGGGGCCCGCGGCCGCCCUACCCGCCCCCAGCAUGCUGGGCCCCGGCCCCGCCGGCUGCAGCGCCGACAAGGAUUGCUCAGGAUUCAGGAUGAAAGUGCCUUCCAAUCCCCAUGAGCCCAUGUGACCAGCCAACUGGUUCCUGCCCAGAUAUCCUGAGUGCCAAGAAAUUGAUUUUGCUUCUUAAUCACACAGGAAAAUGGCUGGGGUGGGGGUGGGGAGAGAUAGCACAAUUGGUAGAGCCCAGGCCUUCCACGCCUCAAAUUCCUAGUUCAGUCCUCAGUACUGCAGAUAGCAGAGAGAUACCUUCACUUCUUCUCUCUCUUCUCCCCCCGCCUUGCUCUCUCCCUCACUGAAAUGCUCUCUCAUGUGAAGUAAGUGUAUACAUAAAUGAGUACUUUUUAAAAGACAGCACAAAAGUGAGAACCAGAAGUCAGGAGCCCUGUGAUGUAUGUUUCUGAACAGCUGUGCGUGGCCUGUGACAAAUGAUUGAAACAUCCCAGGUCUCUGUUUCCUCCUUCAACAAGGGGAUUUGACCUCACUCCAAGGUCCUUUCCGUUCUAACCACCAACAAGGCUAAAACAUAGAUGAGAGAAAGAAAGAAAGAAAGAAAGAAAGAAAGAAAGAAAGAAAGAAAGAAAGAAAGGAAGGAAGGAAGGAAGAAAGGGGCAAUGAGCCGGGUGAGCCUAGUAAUUUUGGAAAGUGAUAUAUAUAUAUAUAUAUAUAUGAACAGUGGUACACCUGGUUAAAGCAGACAUGUUACCAUGCAUAAGGACCCAGGCUCGAGCCCCCAGCCCCCCACCUGCAAAGAGGAAACUUUAUGAGGGGUGAAGCAGGGCUGCAGAUGUCUCUCUGUCUCUCUCCCUCUCUAUCUCCCCCUUCCCUCUCAUUUUCUCUCUGCUUUGUCAGCUAACGGGGGAGAAGAGAAAGCACACGGGAGUGGUGAGUUCAUCAUGCGGACACCAAGCUGAACCACAAGGACAAACCUGGUGGCAAUAAAAUAAGUCAAUUAAUUAA